GUAUGACUAACUCCAACCAAAGGCAAUUUGGCGACAGAACUUAUAGCACUUUAACUAGUGAUAGAGCAAAGGAUAUGAGGUUCAGUAUGAGAGUUCCAGAUGUUAAUGGAAGUGCCAUAAAUGAGAAAGUCGAGUCCUAGAAGGAAGAAGUGAAGGAAGUUGAUUCCAAAGAUAACUUAUCGCUCAUGACACUAAGGAAAGCACUGAUAGUGUGUAAUGCAAGCCCAGGUGCCAAUACACAUUUCAAAUAAUCAAAGUGACAACAAAGUUCGAGAACUGGAACUUAAAGUUGAGUUGCUUGAAACUGCGCUGCGAGAAGCCGCUGCUUCCGCUGAGAUAGGCAUCUCCCAAGCCCUUGCGCAAGGGGCUCACCACUGCCACGCUGCUGAUACCCUGAAUGAUCUGGAAGCAACACAACGAGUGUGUUUUUGAUGGCCCCAGGUUCUCCGAGCUGGCACUCACAUUCCCCCGUACAGGCCAAUUUUUCUGACAAACAUAAUGUUGCCCAGGCUGCCUCUGGAUGAAGAAGGGAGGUAGGUAUACGGUACUGCGCUUGCUCUGAUAGAAAUACACUGUGAAGUAAUACUCCAGGUCCGCAUUACUUGAAGCCCUGGUAGCUCUCUCCAUAGACGUUUCUUGAUGUUUCAAGACAGACAGAUUCCAACAUAUAUGGACGUUUUCAGCUAAUGUCUGGCUCUCACCAUUACCGCAGACGAGAACAUUGUCUUCUUCUAAGGAAAUGCACUCAUGUGGAACCUUUUCAGUCAAGAACGUUUGGAACUUUGGAUUGUCUCGCAGUCACGGCAUUGCCACCCAUGGGUCACCCCACAGUCCACGUGCUUUAGUUCUCCAUCACAUGGUGAAGAGAACCACGGCUGGUCAUAUGUUUUUAAUCCUACACGAUACAUUGCAACUCUCUCGCUUGCCAUCUACUAGCAGUGUAUGUUUUCCCAUUAAUUGAUGGUUUUGUUGUCAUCUUGAAAGCAGUGUAGAAUAUACUAUUGUGUUUGUAUGGGCUGUGGCAU